UACGUAGGUGGCAAGCGUUGUCCGGAUUUACUGGGCGUAAAGAGCGCGCAGGCGGUCGUUCAAGUCGCGUGUGAAAGCCCCCGGCUCAACUGGGGAGGGUCACGCGAUACUGAUCGACUCGAAGGCAGGAGAGGGAAGUGGAAUUCCCGGUGUAGUGGUGAAAUGCGUAGAUAUGCGGAGGAACACCGAUGGCGAAGGCAAUCCCCUGGACCUGUACUGACGCUCAUGCACGAAAGCGUGGGGAGCAAACAGG
rnacentral:rRNA from 1 species